UACGGGGGGGGCUAGCGUUGUUCGGAAUUACUGGGCGUAAAGAGCGCGUAGGCGGCCGUGCAAGUCGGUUGUGAAAUCCCGGGGCUCAACCCCGGGACUGCGUCCGAUACUGCACGGCUCGAGGCAGGUAGGGGAGAGUGGAAUUCCCGGUGUAGCGGUGAAAUGCGCAGAUAUCGGGAGGAACACCGGUGGCGAAGGCGGCUCUCUGGACCUGUCCUGACGCUGAGGCGCGAAAGCUAGGGGAGCGAACAGG
rnacentral:rRNA from 1 species